UUCCCAGCAGAGGAGUUUUCUGACGCAGGCUGGCAGGUUCACAGAGAGACCCUCACUGCAACUGGCUCUGCAUUAACCUGUUUGCAUCAAGAAUUAUGACUUUUGAGGCCUUGUUUCACCUUUGCAACCAAUAGCAGGUGUUUGUACGUGACGUCAGACUCUAUUAAAUUUAAAGUGCACCAGGA